AACUGACCUGGGAAUCUGUUGAUCCUUCCCAGGUGCUGCUCCAGUGGUCACAGCCCAACAGAAAAGUCCCUCUGCUGUGGAUGGCUUGGCCUUGCUCUGCAGAGGAAUGCCAUGGAGUCAGCUUCCUGAUUUUUCACACCUGAGCAGGAGAGGAUGGACAGUCCUGGAUCAGCCCCUCGGUGCCGACAGCGCUUCCUGUGGAGAUCAGAGCAAUGAACAACUGGGCACUGCUGGAGCAGCAGGGAAACCUCUCCUGGGGGAUGUGGAGUCUUGGGCCCCUGAAGACUUGGAGAAAGACCUGAAAUUUCUGACUGACAUUGAACUAGACAGAUGGGAGAUGAUGCUGUGUAAGAGGAGGCCUUGCUCCAUUUGACCUGCAAGAGCUGCUCUAGGAGGACAAUCCAGUUCCACCAGGAACACCGAGGGACACGGGAUGUCACAGCAGCAGCAGCAGGACCCACUCCAGCCCCACUGGAUUUUGGCUUCCUGGUUGUCCUGGCUCUUGGAAAACCUUUCAGUCACCCCAUGGCACACCUGGCUCCUGGGAAAUGCUCUGGAUGGAUGGAUGCACUGCUGCAGUGGGGGGGGGAAUCACAGGCAGGAAUAAAGGCAAAAGAAGGGAAGUCUUUCUCUGGGAA
rnacentral:lncRNA from 1 species